UUUCCCUCAUAACAAACCUAGAGCCAGUCUCUGAGUUCUUAUGAAGUCAGAGUCUUUCUCCUUUGUCUGACAUGUUUCAUUUGCCUUUCACCUUUGUGACUGAACGAUGGCUGCCCUAAGUGCCUGCGGGCAUUGUGUCUUUAUAUCUGGAAGGGAGAAGAGGAAGGUGACCAGAGCGGCCAACACUUCUCCUUAAGUGCUACCCUUUCAUCCUGGAAGCCUGACUCAGGGAUUGCCAUCGGCACCUCAUUGACUGAGCUCGGCAGAUGGCCCCCAUUGGCUGAGCUAAGCUAGAGAUGGCCCCCAUUGGCUGCGCUGAGCUAGAUGGCCCCUCAUUGGCUGAGCUGAGUUGGGCAGAUGGCCACACGGAACAAUGCUGCCGUUAGGAAUGAGGUUGGGAAUAGAUUCUGGGAAGGUCAGCGUCGACUUCCCCUUUUCAUUUUAUCUUACUAGUGAUUCCAAGUACCUGUGUAGUCCACGCUACAUUCUCUCUGCGGUCUGUCUGGCCUAUCCCGUAUCCCUAAGAGUACAGUUAGGAUUGCUGCCUGAAGUUAUCAGGAGCAGGGUACAGCUCAGACUUGCUUUGCUUCUCAUGGAGUGGUGUUUGCUCUUUCUCAGCAACACUUUGUCGGAACCAUCUGCCACCUGCCUGUCAGCUUUUGCACCUCAGCAGACUACCUUGCGUCCAGUGUUGAGAACAUUAAUGCUGCUAGUACUCCAUUUCUGAAACUUGACUAGUGUGUCUUAUGUACACCGAUAAGGUCUGUCUAAAGUUCAGUACAUGCAUUUAAUCAAA